rnacentral:misc_RNA from 1 species
GGAAUAUUGCGCAAUGGGCGAAAGCCUGACGCAGCGACGCCGCGUGUGGGAUGACGGCCUUCGGGUUGUAAACCACUGUCGGGAGGGACGAAUGCCCCGCAAGGGGAGUGACGGUACCUCCAAAGGAAGCACCGGCUAACUCCGUGCCAGCAGCCGCGGUAAUACGGAGGGUGCGAGCGUUGUCCGGAAUCACUGGGCGUAAAGGGCGCGUAGGCGGCCUGAUAAGUAGGGGGUGAAAUCCUGCGGCUUAACCGCAGGGCUGCCUUCUAAACUGUCGGGCUCGAGCACAGUAGAGGCAGGUGGAAUUCCCGGUGUAGCGGUGGAAUGCGUAGAGAUCGGGAAGAACAUCAGUGGCGAAGGCGGCCUGCUGGGCUGUAGCUGACGCUGAGGCGCGACAGCGUGGGGAGCAAACAGGA